rnacentral:rRNA from 2 species
CUGAGAUUAGCGGCGGACGGGUGAGUAACACGUGGGCAACCUGCCUAUAAGACUGGGAUAACUUCGGGAAACCGGAGCUAAUACCGGAUACGUUCUUUUCUCGCAUGAGAGAAGAUGGAAAGACGGUUUACGCUGUCACUUAUAGAUGGGCCCGCGGCGCAUUAGCUAGUUGGUGAGGUAAUGGCUCACCAAGGCGACGAUGCGUAGCCGACCUGAGAGGGUGAUCGGCCACACUGGGACUGAGACACGGCCCAGACUCCUACGGGAGGCAGCAGUAGGGAAUCUUCCGCAAUGGACGAAAGUCUGACGGAGCAACGCCGCGUGAACGAAGAAGGCCUUCGGGUCGUAAAGUUCUGUUGUUAGGGAAGAACAAGUACCAGAGUAACUGCUGGUACCUUGACGGUACCUAACCAGAAAGCCACGGCUAACUACGUGCCAGCAGCCGCGGUAAUACGUAGGUGGCAAGCGUUGUCCGGAAUUAUUGGGCGUAAAGCGCGCGCAGGUGGUUCCUUAAGUCUGAUGUGAAAGCCCACGGCUCAACCGUGGAGGGUCAUUGGAAACUGGGGAACUUGAGUGCAGAAGAGGAAAGUGGAAUUCCAAG